GUCCCUGUAGCGCAAUGAAUAGCGCGUUGGACUUCUAAUCCAAAGGUCGUGGAUUCGAAUCUUACCUGGGAUG
rnacentral:tRNA from 1 species